UACAGAGGCCCCGAGCAUUACCCGGAUUCACUGGGCGUAAAGGGUGCGUAGGCGGUUGUAUUAGUCUUUUGUUAAAGCCCAGGGCUCAACCCUGGAAUCGCAAAGGAAACGGUAUAACUAGAGAAUGUGAGGGGUGUGCGGAACUCAAGGUGUAGGGGUGAAAUCCGUUGAUAUCUUGGGGAACACCAAAAGCGAAGGCAGCACACUGGCGCAUUUCUGACGCUGAGGCACGAAAGCGUGGGUAGCGAACGGG
rnacentral:misc_RNA from 1 species